rnacentral:rRNA from 1 species
GACGAACGCUGGCGGCGUGCUUAACACAUGCAAGUCGAACGGAAAGGCCCUGCUUUUGUGGGGUGCUCGAGUGGCGAACGGGUGAGUAACACGUGAGUAACCUGCCCUUGACUUUGGGAUAACUUCAGGAAACUGGGGCUAAUACCGGAUAGGAGCUCCUGCUGCAUGGUGGGGGUUGGAAAGUUUCGGCGGUUGGGGAUGGACUCGCGGCUUAUCAGCUUGUUGGUGGGGUAGUGGCUUACCAAGGCUUUGACGGGUAGCCGGCCUGAGAGGGUGACCGGGCACAGUGGGACUGGGGUACGGCCCAGACGCCUACGGGAGGCAGCAGUGGGGAAUAUUGCACAAUGGGCGGAAGCCUGAUGCAGCAACGCCGCGUGCGGGAGGACGGCCUUCGGGUUGUAAACCGCUUUCGCCGGUGACGAAGCGUGAGUGACGGUAAUGGGUAAAGAAGCACCGGCUAACUACGUG